GACGAACGCUGGCGGCGUGCUUAACACAUGCAAGUCGAACGGAAAGGCCUUUUCGGAGGUACUCGAGUGUCGAACGGGUGAGUAACACGUGGGUGAUCUUCCCUGCACUCUGGGAUAAGCCUGGGUAACUGGGUCUAAUACCGGAUAGGACCGCACUUUAGUACGUGUGGUGGAAAGUUUUUUCGGUGUAGUAGGAGCCCGCUGUCUAUCAGCUUGUUCGUGGGGUAAUGGCCUACCAAGUCGGCGACGGGUAGCCGGACUGAGAGGUUGGUCGGCCACAUUGGGACUGAGAUGCGGCCCAGACUGCUACGGGAGGCAGCAGUGGGGAAUAUUGCACGAUGGGCGCCAGCCUGGUGAAGAGAGGCCGCGUGGGGGAUGACGGCCUUCGGGUUGUAAAAUCCAUUCGCAAGGGACGAAGCGUUUUGUGACGGUACCUAGAGAAGAAGCACCGGCUAACUACGUG
rnacentral:rRNA from 1 species